rnacentral:rRNA from 1 species
UACGAACCGUGCGAACGUUGUUCGGAAUCACUGGGCUUAAAGGGCGCGUAGGCGGGCUCGCAAGUCAGGGGUGAAAUCCCACGGCUCAACCGUGGAAGUGCCUUUGAUACUGCGGGCCUUGAGGGAGGUAGGGGCGUGCGGAACUUCCGGUGGAGCGGUGAAAUGCGUAGAUAUCGGAAGGAACACCGGUGGCGAAAGCGGCGCGCUGGACCUCUUCUGACGCUGAGGCGCGAAAGCCAGGGGAGCAAACGGG